rnacentral:lncRNA from 7 species
CUGGGGACACGCUGCUGUAACAAGGAAAUUCAUUAAGCCCAGAAACUGAAAGGAAAAUGUGGAUCUUUCUCCCUGCUGCCAAAUCAGGGUGGCGUAGCCCAAGGCAUGCUGGAGUUCUUCACCAACCCCUCUAUUCUUCCUUCCCUGUGCAAGCAGCAAAAGUUUGAUGGAAGGGCACAUGAGUUGCUGGGCCAAUUGGCAGAGGAGAACAGUGUCAUCUGGCAGAAGUCUUUCUGUGCCCCUCUGGAACUGCAGUUAUGCUCCCAAGAAGUGCCAGUAGGCCUCGCCGGUCAAAACAUGAUGGAUUUGGAAAAGUCUGCCAACGUCACCUUUGAACCAAAAGUGUUUGAAGUGCCUCCGGAGCCAAGCCUAAGAUAUUCUGAAUAUAGAGUAUUCUACGAUGCGUACAGCAUUUGCUUGAGGAUUAUCUGCUAAAGAACCAAGCACAGAACAGCAUGAACCACAGGGGAUUGUUGCCAUCAGGCCAGCUGUGAGGGUUCAAGAAAUUACCCUCCACCUCAUUUAAGGUCAGGGCCAACCUGCUGCCCUCAGGACGUACAUAUCUUGUGGAGAAAAUGAGAUGAAGGUAAUUGAUCCAUAAUUCUCAUGGAUCUUCAUGGACUUGGUGAUGUUGGUGGGUCCCUUUCAGCUGAAACUCUUCUGCCCUUGAAGCCAUGGGAGAACCAUGGGUAGUGUGACCAAAAGUUACGUGAAAAUCUGGCUAGAGAUUCAGAUGCUCUUUUGAAUAUGCAGGCAUUUCCUACACCAGGACUGUCUUUUUGUUAUCCUGCCUCUCAUUGUUCCGCGAACACAUCAUAAAUACAAGGAAUCCAAUGAGC